rnacentral:lncRNA from 1 species
GAAGAUCCGGGUGACGCUGCGAACGGACGUGAAGAAUGUGCGAGACCCAGGGUCGGCGCCGCUGCGUUUCCCGGAACCACGCCCAGAGCAGCCGCGUCCCUGCGCAAACCCAGGGCUGCCUUGGAAAAGGCGCAACCCCAACCCCGUGGAAUUCGAGGCUGCCCUACCAGGAUCAAUGCAAAUGCCACCUCCUUUUGGAAAAUCCUGGUUUCCUAGCUCCCUUCAUGGAAUUCUGCUUCUUAAGGCUUACUUAGUAAUAGAGACCUCUCAGAAGUUGGAAGAGGCCCAGGUCCACUCUGGCCCCCACCUUUUUUAAAAUAAAAAAUGCAAUGUAAUUUUUCUGGUUAUGGCAUGAUUGAUGCUAAUGGCAAACACGUGGCAUUUUUCAUAUAUUAACCAACGCUCACAAAACGCAGUAGUGACUACUGUUAUCCUCAUUAGGCAAAUGAAAUAACUGAUGCACAGAGAAGUUUAGUGGGCCAGGCGCGGUGGCUCACGCCUUUAAU